CCUACGGGGUGCAGCAGUGAGGAAUAUUGGUCAAUGGGCGGAAGCCUGAACCAGCCAAGUCGCGUGAGGGAAUAAGGCCCUACGGGUCGUAAACCUCUUUUGCCGGGGAGCAAGGGCGGGGACGUGUCCCGGCCCGGAGAGUACCCGGAGAAAAAGCCUCGGCUAACUCCGUGCCAGCAGCCGCGGUAAUUCGGAGGAUGCGAGCGUUAUCCGGAUUCACUGGGUGUACAGGGAGCGUAGACGGCGAGACCAGUCUGGAGUGAAAGGCCGGGGCCCAACCCCGGGACUGCUCUGGAAACUGCCUGGCUGGAGUACAGGAGAGGUAAGUGGAAUGCCUAGUGUAGCGGUGAAAUGCGUAGAUAUUAGGAGGAACACCAGUGGCGAAGGCGGCUUACUGGACUGUAACUGACGUUGAGGCUCGAAAGCGUGGGGAGCAAACAGGAUUAGAUACCCCUGUAGUC
rnacentral:rRNA from 1 species